AGGAUGUUAGCUUAGAAGCAGCUAUUCAUUCAAAGAGUGCGUAAUAGCUCACUAGUCGAGUGACCCUGCGCCGAAAAUGUACCGGGGCUAAAACAAUUUACCGAAGCUGUGGAUAACACAUUAGUGUUAUGGUAGGAGAGCGUUCUAUGUGUGAAGAAGGUAUACCGUGAGGAGUGCUGGAACGCAUAGAAGUGAGAAUGCCGGUAUGAGUAGCGAAAGAUGGGUGAGAAUCCCAUCCACCGUAAGACUAAGGUUUCCAGGGGAAGGCUCGUCCGCCCUGGGUUAGUCGGGACCUAAGGAGAGACCGAAGGGUGUAUCCGAUGGACAACAGGUUGAUAUUCCUGUACUAGAGUAUGAAGUGAUGGAGGGACGCAGUAGGCUAACUAAAGCGGGCGAUUGGAAGUGCCCGUCUAAGCAGUGAGGUGUGAUAUGAGUCAAAUGCUUGUAUCUGUAACAUUGAGCUGUGAUGGGGAGCGAAGUUAAGUAGCGAAGUUAGUGACGUCACACUGCCGAGAA
rnacentral:rRNA from 1 species